rnacentral:tRNA from 1 species
GCCCAAGUAGCACAAACGAUUAAACCUUUGGUUGUUAACCAAAAGGUUGGUAGUUCAAGUCUACCCAGAGGCA